rnacentral:rRNA from 1 species
GACGAACGCUGGCGGCGUGCCUAACACAUGCAAGUCGAACGGAGUUAACCGCUGAAUUGAAGGUAGCUUGCUACUGAAUUUUCUUGGUUAACUUAGUGGCGGACGGGUGAGUAACGCGUGAGCAACCUGCCUUACAGAGGGGGACAACAUUGGGAAACCGAUGCUAAUACCGCAUAACAUAUAUUUGUGGCAUCACAGAUAUAUCAAAGGAGCAAUCCGCUGUAAGAUGGGCUCGCGUCCGAUUAGAUAGUUGGUGAGGUAACGGCUCACCAAGUCGACAAUCGGUAGCCGGACUGAGAGGUUGAACGGCCACAUUGGGACUGAGACACGGCCCAGGCUCCUACGGGAGGCAGCAGUGGGGGAUAUUGCACAAUGGAGGAAACUCUGAUGCAGCAACGCCGCGUGAGGGAAGAAGGUUUUCGGAUUGUAAACCUCUGUUUUUAGUGACGAAACAAAUGACGGUAGCUAAAGAGGAAGCCACGGCUAACUACGUGCCAGCAGCCGCCGUAAGAC